CCGCACGGGUGAGUAACACGUGAGUGACCUGCCUUUUAGACUGGAACAACUUACCGAAAGGUGAGCUAAUGCCGGAUGAGUUAUAUAAGUGCAUGUUUAUAUAGGAAAAGUUGGGGAGACCUGACGCUGAAAGAUGGACUCGCGUCCCAUUAGCUAGUUGGUAGGGUAAUGGCCUACCAAGGCGACGAUGGGUAGCCGGCCUGAGAGGGUGGCCGGCCACACUGGGACUGAGACACGGCCCAGACUCCUACGGGAGGCAGCAG
rnacentral:rRNA from 1 species